rnacentral:rRNA from 1 species
GACGUAGGAGGCAAACGUUAUCCGGAUUUACUGGGCGUAAAGCGCGUGUAGGUGGUUCUGUAAGUAGGGCGUGAAAGCUCCCGGCUCAACUGGGAGAGGCCGUUCUAAACUGCAGAGCUAGAGGAUGGUAGAGGGAGGUGGAAUUCCAGGUGUAGCGGUGGAAUGCGCAGAUAUCUGGAGGAACACCAGUGGCGAAGGCGGCUUCCUGGUCUGUAACUGACACUGAGGCGCGAAAGCGUGGGGAGCAAACAGGAUUAGAUACCCCGGUAGUCCCU